UACAGAGGGUGCGAGCGUUAAUCGGAAUUACUGGGCGUAAAGCGUGCGUAGACGGCUAUCUAAGUCGGGUGUGAAAGCCCCGGGCUCAACCUGGGAAUUGCAUUCGAGACUGAAUAGCUAGGGUGCGGAAGAGGGAAGCGGAAUUUCCGGUGUAGCGGUGAAAUGCGUAGAUAUCGGAAGGAACACCAGUGGCGAAAGCGGCUUCCUGGUCCAGC
rnacentral:rRNA from 1 species